GCCGAACCGUGCGAACGUUAUUCGGAAUCACUGGGCUUAAAGCGCGUGUAGGCGGAUGGGAACGUCGGCCACUGAAAGCCCCCGGCUCAACCGGGGAAGCGGUGCCGGGACGGCCCGUCUGGAGGGGCGUAGGGGGACCUGGAACUUCCGGUGGAGCGGUGAAAUGCGUUGAGAUCGGAAGGAACGCCCGUGGCGAAAGCGAGGUCCUGGACGUCAUCUGACGCUGAGACGCGAAAGCUAGGGGAGCAAACGGG
rnacentral:rRNA from 1 species